rnacentral:tRNA from 1 species
GGAGGAGUCGCAUAGUGGUCAAUUGCAGCGGUUUGCUAAACCGCGCUCCAAUUUGGGGCCCGUGGGUUCAAAUCCCACCUCCUCCG